rnacentral:rRNA from 1 species
CGGUACGAUCGGUGACAGGUGGUGCAUGGUUGUCGUCAGCUCGUGUCGUGAGAUGUUGGGUUAAGUCCCGCAACGAGCGCAACCCCUAUUGUUAGUUGCCAUCAUUCAGUUGGGCACUCUAGCGAGACUGCCGGUAAUAAACCGGAGGAAGGUGGGGAUGACGUCAAAUCAUCAUGCCCCUUAUGACCUGGGCUACACACGUGCUACAAUGGUUGGUGCAACGAGUUGCGAGUCGGUGACGGCGAGCUAAUCUCUUAAAAGCCAAUCUCAGUUCGGAUUGUAGGCUGCAACUCGCCUACAUGAAGUCGGAAUCGCUAGUAAUCGCGGAUCAGCACGCCGCGGUGAAUACGUUCCCGGGCCUU